rnacentral:rRNA from 1 species
AUGGCAAGCCUUGCUGAUUCUUUCUUGGCCGAUCUCGACGAACUUUCAGACAAUGAAGCCUACCCUGAGGAAGACAAUGCUGAGGCAGUGGGUAUGGAUGAGGAUGGUGACGAUGAUAUGCCUGACCUUGAGUCUCUUAAUUAUGAUGAUCUUGACAGCGUCUCAAAACUGCAGAAGACACAACGUUAUUCUGACAUAAUGCAAAAAGUUGAAGGAGCACUUGAGAAAGACACAUAUUUGUCUAAUCAAGGGUUCAUCCUGGAGGAGGAUCCAGAGUACCAGCUUAUUGUAGAUUGCAAUGCCUUAUCAGUAGAUAUUGAGAAUGAGCUCAUUAUAAUACAUAAUUUCAUCCGUGACAAGUAUAGGCUGAAGUUUCCUGAACUGGAAUCCCUUGUUCAUCAUCCGAUUGAUUAUGCCCGUGUUGUUAAGAAGAUUGCAAAUGAGGUGGAUAUAACACUAGUAGAUCUGGAAGGGCUCUUACCUUCUGCAGUUAUAAUGGUUGUCUCUGUGACAGCAUCGACAACUAGUGGGAAGCCUCUUUCUCAGGAGAAUUUGGUAAAAACCAUUGAAGCAUGUGACAGAGCCCUUAAUCUUGAUGCUGCAAAGAAGAAGGUGCUUGAUUUUGUAGAGGGUAAAAUGGGUUACAUCGCACCAAACCUAUCUGCAAUUGUUGGCAGUGCUGUUGCUGCAAAAUUGAUGGGAAUUGCUGGUGGUUUGGGAGCACUUGCAAAAAUGCCUGCUUGCAAUGUUCAGCUACUUGGAGCAAAGAAGAAAAAUCUUGCUGGAUUUUCUAGUGCCACGUCUCAGUUUCGUGUUGGCUAUCUUGAACAAGCCGAAGUAUUUCAGAGCACCCCUCCAGCCCUGAGGACCCGUGCUUGCAGGGUCAUAGCUGCAAAGGCAACUCUAGCAGCAAGAAUUGAUUCAACUAGAGGUGAUCCAACUGGAAAAGCUGGUCGCAACUUGUUAGAAGAAAUUCGCAAGAAGAUCGAGAAGUGGCAAGAACCACCUCCUGCAAAGCUUCCAAAACCACUUCCUGUUCCAGAUUCCGAGCCUAAAAAGAAGAGAGGGGGUCGCCGCCUUCGAAAAAUGAAAGAAAGAUAUGCGGUGACUGAUAUGAUGAAGCUUGCAAACCGAAUGCAGUUUGGUAUACCAGAGGAGAGCUCAUUAGGUGAUGGUUUGGGGGAAGGUUAUGGAAUGCUUGGGCAGGCCGGAAGUGGGAAACUACGUGUCUCAGCUGCGCAAAACAAACUUGCUGCUAAAGUGGCAAAGAAAUUCAAGGAGAGGAGUUAUGGUAGUGGCGGUGCAACAUCUGGACUGACAUCUAGUUUGGCCUUUACACCAGUUCAGGGAAUAGAGCUGUCAAACCCACAUGCCCACGGCAACCAUCUUGGAAGUGGAACCCAGAGCACCUAUUUCUCUGAGACGGGCACAUUUUCCCGGAUCAAUAAUAGGCCAUGA